UUAUGUUUAGGGUCAAUUCUACUUAUGGUUGAGAGUGCAGCAAGAGUGACUUUUAGGAUGUACCUGAGUAUGUCAUUGAUGAGUAUGAGAGAGAAGGAUAAGUGUAUUUAUUGUACCUCGUAAAUCUUGGUUCUAUCUAUGGAUAGGUUCUUCCUUUUGCCUUGUGUGCAUUGGAAGGAAAUGAUCUGUAGGGGAGGCUACAGCUGGA
rnacentral:lncRNA from 1 species